UCUAGGUGUCACAACUGUUGUCGAGCACACAAGCACAUUCCCCAAGAAAGGCAGGGCUCCUGUACUGCCAGGGGGUGCAAGAGCGAAGAAUGUCAUUUUCCUUCAUCUGUACGAUCUCCAGAAGCACUCUGAGAGGCCAGAGAAACCCAACGUGGGUAACGAGGCCACCGUCUCACAAAACCAAGAAAGUGCCCAGUAUUUCACUGUCACUUAGGAGAAGGUGCCACAUUUAAGACUGAGUUGUUCUGACACUGGAAGAGAUGGAAGACAACCAGCGGUGAUCAGUGAUCUGCAGCACUGUACUCAUCCCAAGGCUAUCAAAUAAAGACUCCACCCUUCUUAGGAUAAAGUGGAACAGCUCAAUUCUAGUUCCCUGAAUGUUAUUUGAAAUCCUAAUUCCAUUGGAGCGACAAGAGUAUCAACAAUUCCCAACUCAACGCAGCUGUUCAAACAACUGAAAACAUGCACACUUUUCUGAUACCUCAUGUAAGAGGAUGUAAGCACUGUACAAAUCUCAGGGAUGGUUUGUUACCAUCGUUAUUAUAAAGGUGGUUCAUUACCGCUCACUGAGGUAUAUUUUUGGGAGCUGUAUGAUGUAUCUUAGUGAAUGAGGAGUUAGCAGAUGUUUGGGGGAAAGCUACGCUUUGAGGCAGUGUAUGCAGAAAAUGGAGCUUAAUCACACAAACACCCCCAAGAGGUGUUAGUUAAUAUAUUCGUUUUCUCAAUUACCAUUCAGCUGAAUUCUGAGGGGCUCAUCAAAAGAAUAACUAAGA